rnacentral:pre_miRNA from 1 species
GUAGAUAAAAUAUUGGUACCUGAUGAGUGUGAGGCCAGGUUUCAAUACUUUAUCUGCUC